rnacentral:rRNA from 1 species
GCACAAGCGGAGGAACAUGUGGUUUAAUUCGAUGAUACGCGAGGAACCUUACCUGGGCUUAAAUGUAGAGUGCAUUGAGAGGAAACUUUCAUUUUCUUCGGAACUCUUUACAAGGUGCUGCAUGGUUGUCGUCAGCUCGUGCCGUGAGGUGUCGGGUUAAGUCCCAUAACGAGCGCAACCCUUAUCGUUAGUUGCCAGCGGGUAAUGCCGGGAACUCUAGCGAAACUGCCGGUGUAAACCGAGAGGAAGGUGGGAUGACGUCAAAUCAGCACGGCCCUUAUGUCCAGGGCUACACACGUGUUACAAUGGCCGGUACAGAGGGCAGCUACCUGGAGACAGGAUGCGAAUCUCGAAAGCCGGUCUCAGUUCGGAUCGGAGUCUGCAACCCGACUCCGUGAAGCUGGAUUCGCUAGUAAUCGCGCAUCAGCCAUGGCGCGGUGAAUACGUUCCCGGGCCUU